rnacentral:rRNA from 1 species
UGUUCAGGGGUAAACCUGUGGUUCCCGAAAGUUCGAACGGGGAGAUUCAAUUGCCUCGCCGGUUAUGACCAUUUAACAGUGUGUUAUUAACGAGACAUUAUAUGCGUGCGGUUUACGCCGUAGCAGUUAUAUAGUGCUCCGCUGUUUUAUGUUAUUGUUUGUAGCCGGAGGCGUGCACUUCUCCCCUUGUAGGGCGUCAUGACCCAUUGGGCCGUGUAUUUAAAUGUUGUCUAAGGCUCAGAAAGGAGACCGUGGCGUCAAGUUUCGGCUUGUGCGCACCGGACUUUCAGAUGUCCCGACAUCUGCCCGAUGGUAUAAUUAUGAUGAUGGACCGCUAAAUUUAUUUAGUGAGCGUUUUUGAUCUGUGACAAAUGCUUAUACGAUUAAUUGUGGAAAACGGAUUAUAUGCCGUUUCUGCACGUAUGGUAUUGUUAGUCAUGGUAUAUUCUCAAACCGUUUCUUAUCAUCAGUCAAUGGCGUUUAUGUUUUGGGUAAUUACAGGACCCGUCUUGAAACACGGACCAAGGAGUCUAGCAUGUGCGCGAGUCAUUGGGACUCUAUUAAACCUAAAGGCGUAAUGAAAGUGAAAUAUUUUUUGAAUAUUUUUAUUCAUUGAAUUUGAGGGAAGAUGGUUAACGAUAUUUAUGUUAACUCGCAUUCCCGGGGCGUCGCGUACUCAUUGCGAGUUGCGGCGCACCUAGAGCGUACACGCUGGGACCCGAAAGAUGGUGAACUAUGCCUGGUCAGGAUGAAGUCAGGGGAAACCCUGAUGGAGGUCCGUAGCGAUUCUGACGUGCAAAUCGAUCGUAUG